AGUGGAUGGGGAGCAACCUAGUUGUGCGUGUGUAAAGGUAGUGCCAAGAAAAGCGAUGAUCAUGUUGAAAAUCAAUUCCCGGUACCCGAAACCGACACAGGUGGGCAAGUAGAGAAUACUAAGGGGCGCGAGGUAACUCUCUCCAAGGAACUCGGCAAAAUGACCCCGUAACUUAGGGAGAAGGGGUGCCACCGAGAGGUGGUCGCAGUGAAGAGGCCCAGGCGACUGUUUAGCAAAAACAUAGGUCUCUGCAAACUCGAAAGAGGAGGUAUAGGGGCUGACGCCUGCCCAGUGCCGGAAGGUUAAAGAAGUUGGUCAGUUUUAGGAUGAAGCUAGCGACUGAAGCCCCGGUGAACGGCGGCCGUAACUAUAACGGUCCUAAGGUAGCGAAAUUCCUUGUCGGGUAAGUUCCGACCCGCACGAAAGGCGUAACGAUCUGGGCGCUGUCUCGGAGAGAGGCUCGGCGAAAUAGGAUUGUCUGUGAAGAUAGGGACUACCUGCAUUUGGACAGAAAGACCCUAUGAAGCUUUACUAUAGCUUGGAAUUGUGUUCGGGCUUCCUGUGCGCAGGAUAGGUGGGAGGCGUAGAAGGUAUUCUUGUGGGGAUACUGGAGCCAACGGUGAGAUACCACUCUCAGGAGGCUAGAAUUCUAACUUAAUUAAGGACAGUUUCAGGUGGGUAGUUUGACUGGGGCGGUCGCCUCCAAAAAGGUAACGGAGGCGUACAAAGGUUCCCUCAGACUGGUUGGAAAUCAGUCGAAGAGUGCAAAGGCAGAAGGGAGCUUGACUGCGAGAAGUACAGUUCGAGCAGGGUGGAAACACGGUCUUAGUGAUCCGACGGUGCUGUGUGGAAGGGCCGUCGCUCAACGGAUAAAAGUUACUCUAGGAUAACAGGCUGAUCUCCCCCAAGAGUUCACAUCGACGGGGAGGUUUGGCACCUCGAUGUCGGCUCAUCGCAACCUGGGGCGGAAGUACGUCCCAAGGGUUGGGCUGUUCGCCCAUUAAAGCGGUACGUGAGCUGGGUUCAGAACGUCGUGAGACAGUUCGGUCCAUAUCCGAUGUAGGCGUGAGAAUAUUGAGAGGAGCCUUCCUUAGUACGAGAGGACCGGGAAGGACGCACCGCUGGUGUACCUGUUAUGAUGCCAAUUGUAAACGCAGGGUAGCCAAGUGCGGAGAGGAUAACCGCUGAAAGCAUCUAAGUGGGAAGCCCACCUCAAGAUGAGUAUUCUGGUGUAAGGUCACGGGAAGACGACCCGUAAAUAGGCACGAGGUGGAAGUGCAGAGAUGUAUGAAGCCGAAGUGUACUAAUAGACCGUCGGCUUGACC
rnacentral:rRNA from 1 species